GGCCACCUCUGGGGGGGCUUUACCAAACGGUGAAUCCGCCCAUAUAGCAAACGGAGACAGAA
rnacentral:ncRNA from 1 species